rnacentral:rRNA from 1 species
UACGUAGGGGGCAAGCGUUGUCCGGAUUUAUUGGGCGUAAAGAGCGUGUAGGCGGCCAGACAGGUCCGUUGUGAAAACUCGAGGCUCAACCUCGAGAUGUCGAUGGAAACCGUCUGGCUAGAGUCCGGAAGAGGAGUGUGGAAUUCCUGGUGUAGCGGUGAAAUGCGCAGAUAUCAGGAAGAACACCUAUGGCGAAGGCAGCACUCUGGGACGGUACUGACGCUGAGGCGCGAAAGCGUGGGGAGCGAUCCGG